GCAGGUUAGGAAACACUUUGUGGCCUAUUGGAUAAUGAACUACUUAAAACAUUUUUUUUAUAAUAGAUAAGUAUAUUACAUGGGAAGAAGCGUUCCCAACUUACUGGGAGGAUACGAUUAGGGUAGUUGGUUAACUAGGAUCUCUCUCUCUUUAAAUAAUGGAUUACAUUUUAGCUGAUCAGGUAAAUUAUAUAGAAUGCCAGAGUUAGGGAGGCCAGAACAGGUAGACAUAGAAGUUGAAGAUAUACUAACAGAACACAUGAGAAGACUGUUUGUUAACCAAACCCGUAUGUCCGAGAUUUUGUGUCCAACAGGUGAAUUACAGCAGAAGGUGAUUCACUCAAUCCAACCAGGUGACUGGGUGUGGAUCCAGUCCCUGAGGACAAAAGAACUGGAAGCAGCCACAGUGGGAGGGGCCAUACCAAGUGCUCCUGGUAACAGCCUUUGCGGGGAACUCAUUGGGGUCGACUACCUCUUCUCCCAGACCCAUGGUGACCAGAGGCUGGAGUCCAACCUCGGUAAGGACCCGGAUGUCCCAGACGGGACACCUGAUGUAUUUGAGGGAGGAGAGGGAGAGGAGGAGGACCUGAGCGAGCUUGAGGAGGAGGAGGAUGACCCCACCAUGUCCUUGCCCGCCCUCGAUGACAGUCUCCCAGCAGUACCUCCACUCAGGAAGGCCACUCCACCGCUCACUAAGCCCACUCAACCCAACUCAUCCCAGGUACCUGUCGUCACACCCCCUGAUGACACUAUGGAGGUGGACACUACACCAGCUGCCAGUCAGGACCUGGAGGAUGACGAGUACAUAGGACCUGAUGGGGUUAGUGGAUACCAGCACGCGGUCCUCCUUGCCAAGAGUCUGGUGAGGCUCCUGGAGGGGCCAUGGAUCUCUAAUAGGCAAAUAGAGGAGAUCAUGGCUCUCUGGGGAAAUCUCCCGGAAAGAGACAAGGCGGCUGUCUCCUACCCAGAGAGGUUCCGGGACCGAGUCCUGCAGGGGCGCUUUAAAAAUUCCAAGAACUCCACUGUGAAGGGGGAAGAGAGUAUGAAGCGGUGCGUACUACACAUUGUUCUAAACUCACAUAAAGACAUGAGUGCAUUUCUCAUUAACGUGAUGUUUCCUUUUGUUAACCUCUUACAUCUAGACGUUCCGCUCGCGGAACACCUGCUCAAAUAUCCAAUGAUAGGCGUGGCGUGAAUUACAAAUUCCUCAAAAAUACAAAAACUUCAAUUUUUCAAACAUAUGACUAUUUCACAGCAUUUUAAAGAUAAGACUCUCCUUUAUCUAACCACACUGUCCG
rnacentral:lncRNA from 1 species